CCUACGGGGUGCAGCAGUGAGGAAUCUUCCACAAUGGGCGAAAGCCUGAUGGAGCAACGCCGCGUGGGUGAAGAAGGUCUUCGGAUCGUAAAACCCUGUUGUUAGAGAAGAAAGUGCGUGAGAGUAACUGUUCACGUUUCGACGGUAUCUAACCAGAAAGCCACGGCUAACUACGUGCCAGCAGCCGCGGUAAUACGUAGGUGGCAAGCGUUAUCCGGAUUUAUUGGGCGUAAAGGGAACGCAGGCGGUCUUUUAAGUCUGAUGUGAAAGCCUUCGGCUUAACCGGAGUAGUGCAUUGGAAACUGGGAGACUGGAGUGCAGAAGAGGAGAGUGGAACUCCAUGUGUAGCGGUGAAAUGCGUAGAUAUAUGGAAGAACACCAGUGGCGAAAGCGGCUCUCUGGUCUGUAACUGACGCUGAGGUUCGAAAGCGUGGGUAGCAAACAGGAUUAGAUACCCCAGUAGUC
rnacentral:rRNA from 1 species